UAGGCAUGUGCUACCAUGCAGAGCUCUGC
rnacentral:piRNA from 1 species